UUGACAAACGCUGCAUACUUGUUAUGUAGAGGAAAGUCCAUGCUCGCACAGUCUGCGAUGACUGUAGUGUUUGUGCUUAGGGAAAAAAUAACCUAAGGUAGCAAUUUUUUUUGUUAACGGCUUCUGAUGACCUAAGUCUAUGAUAUGGUCUAGGAUAUAAAAGUGCCAAAGAGACGAGCCUUUUAGAAAUAAAAGGUGUGGAACGUGGUAAACCCCACAAGCGAGAAACCCAAAUUUUGGUAGGGGAACUUUGAUAGGGAAUUGAACUGAUUCAAGGAUCGAAAGAUAGAUAAAUGUUUGUCACCCAAGUGGUACAGAACAUGGCUUAUAA
rnacentral:RNase_P_RNA from 1 species